rnacentral:rRNA from 1 species
UUUCCGGUGGUUAUGGCGAGGGGGAAACACCUCUUCCCUUUCCGAACAGAGCAGUUAAGCCCCUCAGCGCCGAUGGUACUUGGCCCGCAAGGGCCUGGGAGAGUAGGACGCCGCCGGAUUA